UACGUAGGUGGCAAGCGUUAUCCGGAAUUAUUGGGCGUAAAGCGCGCGUAGGCGGUUUUGUAAGUCUGAUGUGAAAGCCCACGGCUCAACCGCGGAAGGGCAUUGGAAACUGGAAAACUAGAGUGCAGAAGAGGAAAGUGGAAUUCCAUGUGUAGCGGUGAAAUGCGUAGAGAUAUGGAGGAACACCAGUGGCGAAGGCGACUUUCUGGUCAGAAACUGACGCUGAUGUGCGAAAGCGUGGGGAUCAAACAGG
rnacentral:rRNA from 1 species